ACGUGCCAUCCCUGCAUGCGCGCAGCGGGUUUGCAGUCUGGGGAAAGAUGCUCUGAAUCAGCGACAUGCCAGGCUACGAGCUGGGCGGAAGCAGAGCACGGUUCACCAGGCGCACCGCACCGCCUAACCCUUUCUGAAGCACACGGGACGGAGUCCGUUCAGCCCCCUGCCCGACAUUCACGGCGUCUGGCGUCAGCCUCCCUUGCCACCAGCCUUCCCUUCCACCGUCGUCACCUAGUUCGCCCAGCGCUGGCCUUCCCCCACCCCCUUCCCUCCGCUCGCUUUGCCCCAGGCCAGACCCUGCUCGUCCUCAAGCCCAGCCUGAAGAAGACCACCAGCUUCCCAUCCACCCCGAGACCAGGAGCACUUUCCCUCCCUUGUGACCCUGUCCCUUCUUACUCCUGUCCCAGGGCUCUUCAAGCCUUCCCUCUUGUCCUCGAGCUUUUUCUGUUCCCAUCUCGCCCCUCUCCUGACAGUGAUAGGAACUCAUCCUUGCUCUGCAGAGGCCCCUGCUAAGCUCCCCGACUGCCCGUGAGAGUAACCGACACGGCGACCCCUUCUCAGGAGACUCACCACCAAGGGAAGCCAGACUGUGGAGAAGUGGCUUCUGAGUCGACUGCCACUAGCUUCAGGAGGGACCUGAUUCGACGGCAGAUCUGACGCACUAAGAGAUGCUUGCCUCCCAGAUGACUUCAGAGCCUGACUUUUUCUCCCGCACACCAGCGCUUGGGUCUGAAGUCCACCUAUGUCCUCAUAAACCCAACAUCCUCGAAGACCUUCCAGAUUGUCGUGAGAGUUGGACCACACUUUAUUCGAGGCACCGUAGGACAGAACAGAAAAGUCUAAAACUGAUUCCAUGUUGCACAGAUCCCUGAUAGUGUAUGAAUAAUUCUCCACAUGGGGAAGAUAUCUCAAAAUGUGAUGGUAGAUAAUUUUAUCCACUUAGUAA